rnacentral:lncRNA from 1 species
GGGGAAGCAAAAAACAGAAAUUUGGUCUCUGGUAGUGGGUCCACUUCCACCCCAUUUCAGACUCUACAGACCAAGCUUGCCUGCAGCCUGUACCUCCAAAAUGUGGAGGUGGGGAGGUCUAAGAAAGAGGGGGAUCACUUGCAAAUAUAAGGAAAUCAGACGCACCCGGUGCUACAGAAAUGGGCCAGGAGAAAACUCAGCAUUUUGACUGGGAUUUUGUUCCAACCAAGCAACUCUCUUCUACUUUCGUUGUGUACGGUUGGCACCAGGUGGAGGACAAUCAUUGGCACAGUGCUCUUGGCUCCUCUCCAUCCUCUCACUCCCUCCGCACUGACUGAGAAAACUCUUCAAAGAACUACAGGGGGCCGGGCGCAGUGACUUAUGCCUGCAAUCCCAGCACUUUGGGAGGCUGAGGUGGGCAGAUCACUUGAGAUCAGGAGCUCAAGACCAGCCUGACCAACAUGGUGAAAUCUGUCUCUACUAAAAUACAAGAAUUAGCUGGGUGUGGUGGCUCACGCCUGUAAUCCCAGCUACUCGGGAGGCUGAGGCAGGAGAAUCGCUUGAACCUGGGAGGCAGAGGUUGCAGUGAGCCAAGAUCACACCACUGCACUCCAGUCUGGGGGACAGAGCAAGACUCUGUCUCAAAAAAUAAAUAAAUAAAUAAAUAAAAGAAAUAUAGGGGAACAACCCAGCAUCAGCCCACAUGAAACUAUUAGGUUAGCUGCUAUAACAAAUAAACCACCAAGUUUUAACAGCUUAACACCUUAAGAACUGAGCUAUCUACGUAACAGUCCAAAGCUGUUAUUUCUGAUUGGUGGGUAGUUUUGCCCAUAUGGUGAUUAAGGGACCUGUUCCCUCCACCCGUGGCUCACCAGCCCCUAGACCUCAAAGGUUUCCGCAUUCACUGGCAGACAGGAAAUGACAAUAGAAGAAGCCCAGCCUGUAUCUUAAAAGCCCUGACCCAGAAGUUAGUGGCAUUCCAUCUGGUCUCAUUCAGUUGGUGAGAAGAGUCUUAUGGCUACCCCUAGAGAGAAAAUAGAAGAUAAAGUCCCUGACUGGACAUCUCCUCCCAGCAACAACUCCACACUAUGCAAAGCAGAAUACAAACUUUCAGUGGAUUGACAUUCAUCUCUACCAAAGAGCUCUUUUCUAAUUCACAUGAAGGUGAUUUCCUCCUUGCUAAAGCCCUGGAAAUCUAAAUUGGAAAGAAAGUUAGAAAUCUACUGUGACAUGCUACAAAUGCAGAUGUGCCACAAACACCACAGAAUGGUCAUCCAGCCAGUGCCAGAUCAUCAUGAGAAAGUUUUGUUAGAAAAGUUUUCCUUUCAUAGUCCCAGGUGAGCCAUCUGUUGCAACCCAGGAGUCGAAAUUCUCCUAAGAUUGAUUAUAAAAGGCAGUUAUAGAGGAAACUGUUUGAGUCUGCUGAAUUAAAAACAAACAGUGAGGCAUUCAACGACGAACAGAUCUGAUGGAUUAAAAUGCACCGAAGAAAGACAUCUCAAGCGAUGCCUGAAUAGGCCAAGUCAGAAUGAGAGGAAAUUUGGCCUGCAAUUUCCAAUCAAGGGAAAACUGGCAAAGCAACAGAAUUUGAGGCUUCCUCAGAUUUACACUUUAUCUGCUAAUUAGCAUUAACAUGCGUGGUAGAGGUAUCUCACCAGCUUGUGGCACAAUAAAAAACGGAAUGUGUUAUCACCACAGAAUGUGUAAUUACUUUAAGCACUGGCUGAAAAUUGCAGGGUACUUCAUUUCAGAAUUUGUAUAUAUUUAUUGUUAGAGAUAAACUUGUUGAAGUAUAUCUAAUCUAAUUUUAUGUUAUAAUUCCUGUUUAAGAUAAUUUUAGUGUCAGCAAGCCAAGAACUGAAGUAAAUACUGCCGUAAAUUGUAAUACAUUAAAAUACCAGAGAAAUACUUCCAUUCAGCCGUGACUUGAUUUGCUUAUUGUUUAAGGACAAAAAAUAAAAAAUUCUCAGAUUACAUCAACAUUGGAAAUAUAUACUGUUGGGUUGCCCCUACCAUGCAGGCCAUGCAGCUGAUGAAGUUUGCUAACCUUGACUCGCCCAGUUCCCUGGAAGUGUGAAUCACUUUUAAAAGAAUUGUAGAUUUCCGUUUCCCUUAGGUAAGAUUUAUUAUUUUUGUAAAAAUCUCCUUAAAUUGCUCUGUAUGUUCCCACAAGGGAAAUGCAUUAGGACAGAUUAUUUGGCUUUAAAUCAUAACUAGGUUAAUAUUUGUUGUGAGUUUGAUUUAAGACCUUGUUUAAAUUCCUCCUUAAAUUGUUAAGCAAGACAAUUUGGGGCUAUGAAAAGGAAACUAUACUGUGUUUUUCAGUAAUAUGAUAUUAUGGCACAGACUACCAAAUCAUGCAAAAGCAAUUUCUGAUUUUUCUACUAAUAGGGGAUUAUAGCUAAAGCAUUGUCGGCAUACAGACUGUGUAUUCUUUUAGCAACCUUCUAUCAAGCCUGCAAAACUUGGAAAAAUGUGGAGAUAAUGCUGCCUCCGAGGAGGGAAUGCUGGAUCUAACACUAUUUUUGUUUGGUAACUAUCAAUUUCUCUGCCUUUUUAUGCCCUUGUUUCACCAGGAGAGAGAAGAGAGAGGGGGGAAAAAAGGAUAUACAAGGAUGCAUGGUUCACAAUGCCAAUGCCUGUAUUCAUAUAAUUUGUGUUAAUAAGAUGUAAAAACCUUCUUACGUUUUCUCCCAGUUGUCUGUCUACUGUUCCUCUGAGGAAGGCAUGAAAUUAAGGAUCCCAUUGGAUAGAUCUUAUUAUGAUUCAUCUGGAAAGAGCCCUAGGAUUUUAAUGUCUGCCCGUUGCCCUCCCUGUUGUGUGAAAAAUGGUGGGAGCUAAUGAGCCCUUGAAUGACUCUGGCCAUCUCAGAACACUGAUGUAUUGGUUGUCUAAGAGCCUUCUUCCUACGUGUAGCAAUAAUGAAGCUACAUAAAUGGAAAGUCCUGAAACUUCGAAAUUCUUUUUCUGGAGAAGUAGCUUCACACAGCACAUUUAAAGCACAACUGAAUUUUUCUUUUCAUGGCUGCUUUUUUAACAUGGAAAAUUUAUAUUUUCUGUAAUACUGAUUCCUAAUUAAUAUCUUAGCACCAAGUUCAGCAUAUUAAAGGCAGGACUGGUAUAUAAACAAAACCUGAGUGGCUCUGUGAUAGAAUAGGAGUGAGCAGACUUGAGAUCUUCCCUAGAGCUGAGGGAAACCAGGAAGGGGCAACGGUAGCAGCAAUUCAUGUGGUUUACUCUAGUGGCCAAAAGCAUUGAAAAGGUGUUAGCCCUGCUGCUCUGGCUAGACGCCAGUGAAGUAUUUAUAAGAUGCUGCCUCUGAUUCCUUCUAUGACUGUAAAAGUUUGGGGGAGAAGGGGACCUUUCUUUCCAGGCCUCAUUCCUUGCCUCUUGAGCAGUGCUGUGAUGUGUCCGGGGAAGCAGCUAUCCUUAUUUCACCUCUGAAGCUGUUUCACCUCAAAGAGGCUAUGAUUUCCCCUAAUGCAAUAGCUGGCCAUUCUCUUGCUGAAUGUGGAAAGUACUUUGGAAUCCUAUGGCAAGAAAGCAACUAAAGACAAUUUGAAGUCACAACUGUCCACAUCAUGUGAAAAUCAACACUCUUUUCCAAACCAGCAGCUAGAACAAGAAGUUGACUUGAGGAUGUUGACUCAAUACUGAUGGGUAAUUUUAGGACCUUUUCUAGGGAUACCUCCUGUCUUAGUCCAUUCAAGCUGCUAGGACAAAAUACUAUAGACUGGUGACUUAUAAAUAACAAACAGUUAUUGCUGAGUUCUGCAGUCUGGGUAGUCUAAGAUCAAGGUUCUAGUAGACCCAGAGUCUGGUGAGGUCUUACUUUCUUGUUCAUAGAUGGUUCUAUGUCUUCUCACUGUAUCCUCACAUGGUAGAAGGGGUGAGAGAGCUUACUGAGGUCUCUUUUAUAAGGGCAUUAAUCUCAUUCAUGAGGGCUACAUUCUCAUAACCUAAUCACCUCGCCAGAGCCCCACCUCCUAAUACCGUCACAGUAAUGAUUAAGUUUCAACAUAUGAAUUUUGUGGGGACACAAACAUUCCAUCUAUAGUACCUUCACAUGCAAACUAUUUCCAAAAUAAGACUUUCUGUGUGUGCAUGGGGACUUACCACAGUUCAUAAGAAGCAGUAUGAGCUGUUGGGCAUAAACAGAGCUUUCUUU